rnacentral:tRNA from 1 species
GGUGUGUAGCCAAAUCGGUAAAGGCGGCGGCUUGCCAAGCCGUGCAUAUGCGGGUUCGAAUCCCGUCACAACACCA